UACGUAGGGGGCAAGCGUUGUCCGGAAUCAUUGGGCGUAAAGCGCGCGUAGGCGGCUAGAUCAGUCUGCUGUAAAAGUCAAAGGCUCAACCUUUGAAAGCCGGUGGAUACUGUCUAGCUAGAGUCCGGAAGAGGCGAGUGGAAUUCCUGGUGUAGCGGUGGAAUGCGCAGAUAUCAGGAGGAACACCAACGGCGAAGGCAGCUCGCUGGGACGGUACUGACGCUAAGGCGCGAAAACGUGGGGAGCGAACAGG
rnacentral:rRNA from 1 species